UUUUUUCUUUUCUUUUUUUUUUUUUUUUUUAAAUCGUAGACUUGGGCUGGGUGUGGUGGCUCACGUCUGUAAUCCCAGCACUUUGGGAAGCUAAGGCGGGCAGAUCACCUGAGGUCAGGAGUUUGAGACCAGCCUGGCCAACAUGGUGAAAACCCAUCUCUACUGAAAAUACAAAAUUAGCCAGGCAUUGGUGGCGGGUACCUGUAAUCCCAGCUACUUGGGAGGCUGAGGCAGGAGAAUGGCUUGAACCUGGGAGGCGGAGGUUUCAGUGAGUCGAGAUCACACCACUGCACUCCAGCUUGGGCAUCACCAGUGAAAUUACAUCUCAAAAAGAAAAGGCUGGGCACGGUGGUUCACGCCUGUAAUCCCAGCACUUUGGGAGGCCGAGGCGGGCAGAUCAUGAGGUCAGGAAAUCGAGAGCAUCCUGGCUAACACAGUGAAACCCUGUCUCUAUUAAAAAUACAAAAAAUUAGCCAGGCUUGGUGGCGGGUGCCUGUAGUCCCAGCUACUUGGGAGGCUGAGGCAGGAGAAUGGCGUGAACCCGGGAGGCGGAGCUUGCAGUGAGCUGAGAUGGCGCCACUGCACUCCAGCCUGGGCGACAGAGCGAGACUCUGUCUCAAAAAAAAAAAAAAAAAAA
rnacentral:lncRNA from 1 species